AAAAUUAGCGGAUGACCUGUGGCUGGGGGUGAAAGGCCAAUCAAACCGGGAGAUAGCUGGUUCUCCCCGAAAGCUAUUUAGGUAGCGCCUCGUGAAUUCAUCUCCGGGGGUAGAGCACUGUUUCGGCUAGGGGGCCAUCCCGGCUUACCAACCCGAUGCAAACUGCGAAUACCGGAGAAUGUUAUCACGGGAGACACACGGCGGGUGCUAACGUCCGUCGUGAAGAGGGAAACAACCCAGACCGCCAGCUAAGGUCCCAAAGUCAUGGUUAAGUGGGAAACGAUGUGGGAAGGCCCAGACAGCCAGGAUGUUGGCUUAGAAGCAGCCAUCAUUUAAAGAAAGCGUAAUAGCUCACUGGUCGAGUCGGCCUGCGCGGAAGAUGUAACGGGGCUAAACCAUGCACCGAAGCUGCGGCAGCGAACGUAUCACCCAAGACAACUUUACGGAGUUGACGAUUGACGGAGCGAAGCGACGUCAAAGCGUUCAUUAAAGUCGAGUUGGCUUAGGGAUACGUUCGUUGGGUAGGGGAGCGUUCUGUAAGCCUGUGAAGGUGUGUCGUGAGGCAUGCUGGAGGUAUCAGAAGUGCGAAUGCUGACAUAAGUAACGAUAAAGCGGGUGAAAAGCCCGCUCGCCGGAAGACCAAGGGUUCCUGUCCAACGUUAAUCGGGGCAGGGUGAGUCGACCCCUAAGGCGAGGCCGA
rnacentral:rRNA from 1 species